UGGGGAAUAUUGGACAAUGGGCGAAAGCCUGAUCCAGCCAUGCCGCGUGAGUGACGAAGGCCUUAGGGUUGUAAAACUCUUUCGUCGGGGACGAUAAUGACGGUACCCGAAGAAGAAGCUCCGGCUAACUACGUGCCAGCAGCCGCGGUAAUACGUAGGGACCAAGCGUUGUUCGGAUUUACUGGGCGUAAAGGGCGCGUAGGCGGCAAUUCAAGUCAUCUGUGAAAUCUCCGGGCUUAACUCGGAACGGUCAGAUGAUACUGCUUUGCUAGAGUGCAGAAGGGGCAAUCGGAAUUCUUGGUGUAGCGGUGAAAUGCGUAGAUAUCAAGAGGAACACCUGAGGUGAAGACGGGUUGCUGGGCUGACACUGACGCUGAGGCGCGAAAGCUAGGGUAGCAAACGGGAUUAGAUACCCCCGUAGUCCCUGAGCGGGCUGGCAAGGCGCAU
rnacentral:rRNA from 1 species